UACAGAGGUCUCAAGCGUUGUUCGGAUUCAUUGGGCGUAAAGGGUGCGUAGGCGGCGCGGUAAGUCGGGUGUGAAAUCUCGGGGCUUAACUCCGAAACUGCAUUCGAUACUGCCGUGCUUGAGGACUGGAGAGGAGACUGGAAUUUACGGUGUAGCGGUGAAAUGCGUAGAUAUCGUAAGGAAGACCAGUGGCGAAGGCGGGUCUCUGGACAGUUCCUGACGCUGAGGCACGAAAGCGUGGGGAUCAAACAGG
rnacentral:rRNA from 1 species